AAUGUCUUUAAAAGAAGUCCCGUGAGGCUUCAAAGACAUGAUAUGGACGGAUGCAGCAGGCUUUAGGGCCGGACUGUAAAGUUUUUGGGAUACGUGUAUACUCAUGUCUUUGGACAUGAGUAUUUUUUUAU
rfam:Salinicoccus halodurans strain H3B36, complete genome.